rnacentral:lncRNA from 1 species
GGCAACUCGCUGGGGUCCCCUUCCACCCUUUGAAAACUUUGUUCUUUGGUUCUUUGCAAUAAAUGUUGCUGCUGCUCACUCUUCGGGUCUGCACUGGCUUUAUGAGCUGUAACACUCACUGCGAAGGUCUGCAGCUUCACUCCUGGAGCCAGUGAGACCCCGAGCCCACCGGGAGGACCGAAGAACUUCAGAUGCGCCGCGUUAAGAGCUGUAACACUCACCGCGAAGGUCUGCAGCUUCACUCCUGAGCCAGCGAGACCACGAACCCACCAGAAGGAAGAAACUCGGAACACAUCCGAAUAUCAGUAGGAACAAACUCCGGACACGCCGCUUUUAAGAACUGUAACACUCACCUCGAGGGUCCGCGGCUUCAUUCUUGAAGUCAGGGAGACCAAGAACCCCCCAAUUCCGGACACAGGGGGACUUGGCUGCUUCCUGUUUCUAUCAUAGACGCAGCUGGCCUCAGAAUAUUCCACUUAUGGAUGAAAGAAUGAUAGUGUUAUUUUAUGGAAGAAUUUAAGAAGAUGUUGCGGUAUCAUCGACUUUAUUUUUUGUUCAUUCUGAAAAUCACAUCGCCAGAUCCAACACCUUUUUAUCCCAAUCACCAGUACAAGCCACCCGUAUCAGUGUACACUGUGGCUGACCGAUCCAUAGUGAUGCUUUGAGGUAGUCGUACAGUGUCCAGAAGGCAAAAGGACAAGUAUGCACUGCCCUACUUACCUACUUUCCACACUGCUGCACAGGAAAAUCUGACAGAGGACAAUAACAAACAUCUCACCAGCUCAUGCGUUCUUUUUUGAUCCUAAUUCCGAGAGACUCACCAAAGACAUGAAGAGAAAACAAACAAUACUUUUCUUGGAAAUAUUGUAAUUGCUGGUACAUUUGUUGUUCUGGCAUAAAGUAGAAAUUGUCAGUUACCAGAACAAUACUCAGUGAACUUAUGAAUAUAUGGUAAAUAUUAAACACAUCCCACUUGGAUGAGAAGAUAUGUGAGUCGAUGAGUAUAGCUAAGUCUAAAGUUAGAUGUGUUCCAUAAACAUAGUGUUUAUGGAGUUGGUGCAUAUUCACUUCUCAAUUGAAGCCACAAAAUCCACAGCACACAAAGACCCUGCUACCAUGUAUUCACUUCAG